rnacentral:rRNA from 1 species
CUCCGGGAAACCGGGGCUAAUACCGGAUAAUAAGAAGAAACGCAUGUUUCUUUUUUGAAAGUCGGUUUCGGCUGACACUUACAGAUGAGCCCGCGGCGCAUUAGCUAGUUGGUGAGGUAACGGCUCACCAAGGCGACGAUGCGUAGCCGACCUGAGAGGGUGAUCGGCCACACUGGGACUGAGACACGGCCCAGACUCCUACGGGAGGCAGCAGUAGGGAAUCUUCGGCAAUGGGCGAAAGCCUGACCGAGCAACGCCGCGUGAGCGAUGAAGGCCUUCGGGUCGUAAAGCUCUGUUGUUAGAGAAGAACAAGUACGAGAGUAACUGCUCGUACCUUGACGGUACCUAACCAGAAAGCCACGGCUAACUACGUGCCAGCAGCCGCGGUAAUACGUAGGUGGCAAGCGUUAUCCGGAAUUAUUGGGCGUAAAGCGCGCGCAGGCGGUCUCUUAAGUCUGAUGUGAAAGCCCACGGCUCAACCGUGGAGGGUCAUUGGAAACUGGGAGACUUGAGUGCAGGAGAGAAAAGUGGAAUUCCACGUGUAGCGGUGAAAUGCGUAGAGAUGUGGAGGAACACCAGUGGCGAAGGCGGCUUUUUGGCCUGUAACUGACGCUGAGGCGCGAAAGCGUGGGGAGCAAACAGGAUUAGAUACCCUGGUAGUCCACGCCGUAAACGAUGAGUGCUAGGUGUUGGGGGGUUCCACCCUCAGUGCUGAAGUUAACACAUUAAGCACUCCGCCUGGGGAGUACGGCCGCAAGGCUGAAACUCAAAGGAAUUGACGGGGGCCCGCACAAGCAGUGGAGCAUGUGGUUUAAUUCGAAGCAACGCGAAGAACCUUACCAGGUCUUGACAUCCUCUGACCACUCUAGAGAUAGAGCUUUCCCCUUCGGGGGACAGAGUGACAGGUGGUGCAUGGUUGUCGUCAGCUCGUGUCGUGAGAUGUUGGGUUAAGUCCCGCAACGAGCGCAACCCUUGACCUUAGUUGCCAGCAUUCAGUUGGGCACUCUAAGGUGACUGCCGGUGACAAACCGGAGGAAGGUGGGGAUGACGUCAAAUCAUCAUGCCCCUUAUGACCUGGGCUACACACGUGCUACAAUGGGUGGUACAAAGGGUUGCGAAGCCGCGAGGCCAAGCCAAUCCCAAAAAGCCACUCUCAGUUCGGAUUGUAGGCUGCAACUCGCCUACAUGAAGCCGGAAUUGCUAGUAAUCGCGGAUCAGCAUGCCGCGGUGAA